rnacentral:rRNA from 1 species
UACAGAGGGGGCAAGCGUUAUUCGGAAUUAUUGGGCGUAAAGGGCGCGUAGGCGGCAUGGCAAGUGGAUGGUGAAAUCCCUCGGCUUAACCGAGGAACUGCCGUCCAAACUGCUUCGCUUGAGACCGGGAGAGGUGAGUGGAAUUCCCAGUGUAGCGGUGAAAUUCGUAGAUAUUCGGAAGAACACCAGUGGCGAAGGCGGCUCACUGGCCCGGUACUGACGCUGAGAUACGAAAGCGUGGGGAGCAAACAGG